GAGGAUUAAAGGGUCCUUUAAAAAAAAAAAAAGAUGUGGGCCAAGCCCACAAAAAAAGAAGAAAAAGAAAAGAAAAAGAAAAUAAAGAAUAAAAGGGAGUAAAAGGGGUCAGACGUGAAUUUGCACAAGCAAAAGCAAUAGAGCCGAAUAGAGAAAAAAAAAACACAGUAGAAGAAAGGGAGAAAAGAGAGGAAGAAAGAGGAGAAAAAUAAAGAUUCUUCACUCAACUCAUUAAGUUUGAGGCAAUCCGGAGACCCGAGAACGCAGUUUUGAUUUUUUUUGGGAAGUGUGCUUGAAUUGUGAAUUUGAGAUACUGUUGAUGAGAACGAGGCUGGUAAUUGAAGACUUCGUGAGUGGACACUGUUGCUGAGGUGAGCCACCGCAUAGUUCGUGGAGGCAGCCAUUUCAGCUUUAUCUAGUUUAUUUCUAGUUAUUUCUUUUAUUUUGGGUUUACAUGCCCGACACUCAAACUCAUGUAACUCUGUUAGAUGCUCCGUGGUCUUAGCGUGGGAUGUGGGCUAGAGAUUCUUUUUACCUUAGCGUUGAUUGGUUUUCAUAAAUCGAUUAUGGAUUUGGUUGGCGACUAUUUCGCCUUUUAUCAUUAAUAACGUUGUUGGACCUGUACUUAUUUUCUUUUAGUGCUUUUGUAAAUAGUUAAAAGUAUGAUAUAUGGUUCGCCUGGCGGGUGGUGUUUGCUGGGUGCCAAUCACGUCUAGCGGGUGUUUUGGGACGUGACAAGAGUCUUCAAUGAAUAAAGUGGAGAGCUAAGAGUUCAUUUCUUCCAA